AAUUUGGUUUUCGAAUCCCCAUGGAUAUACAUUGUCUGAAUUUUGAUUAAUCCAAAGUAACAGAAGCAAAGCUCAUCUUUUUCCUUUGAUUCUUUCAGCUUCCUUCAAGAGAAGAGGUAUUGCUCGUGAUUUUGUUCAUGAAUAUAAGUGGGGAAGAAUUACGGCUAGGAUUUAUUGGAACGACAUGGGACGAAGAAACAUGUUAUGCCCAAGUGAUAUGAUUUCAUUUAGAAAUGGAUAAGCAAGGCCAUGGAUAUCUCCAUCAUGAGCCCUGCACCUUUUUGGGUGGCAUCGCAAACUACCCACCACCUGAUAUCCCGAUGACAGUCAUGGCUCCUGGGAACACAAGUAGUCUUGAUACUCUUCCCUUACCAGAGCAUUAUGAAAACGGUAUGUUCUAUGAGAUUCCUCAGUACCCUGUCCCUGGUGUUCAACAUCGUCAUCGUUCUCCAAACCUUGAUCUUGGUAUCGGAAGUGCAUCCAACUUUUACAUUCCGUGUGUGGCUACCUCAUCAUCUGUUGUUCCGUUAAAUCACGGACCGAUAGACCAGAUGCCAUCUUCCAGCAACUACGGUCUCCUUGGAGUUUCUGCUGAUGAAUAUGCAAGGAAUUGCCACUUCAUGGAUAUAAUGUUAGAGCCUCGUAUAAGAGAAAGAAUUCUGAAGGGAUUCCAGGAAAUUUUCAGCACUUUAAUUCCUCGUCAAGCUCGAGUUCCUCAGUUACACCAUUCGAUACCAGGCUCCUUGAUGGGAUUGGCCCAGUUGAUGCAUCAUCUUCCACUGUUCCUCCGUGUAGGGGAAACGACCUACCACCUAUUAUAGAUGCAGGACCCCAAAGAAGUGUGAGGAACAGACUAUGGGCAACUGCCAUGGAUCCUCUUUUGAUGCAUGGUGCGAACCAUUUUUUCAAGGAAAUUAUGUGGGUCACUCCUUUCAGCCAACAAUAACAGAUGGAGGUGCCUCGGUUUGGACUCAAGCUCCUAGUGUUCCUUAUAUGCAUGGUAGUUCUAAUGCUGGACUUAUUGAGACUAGGCAUAGGACAAACUUCUCACAUCCUUCCCUUGACCUUCGGAAUCAUAACUACUAUCGCCCUGUUCCACCUACUGAAGGAGUAAGAAACCACGGCAUUAAUGGUCAUCCACAAGUAGCAGCAGCUCCUCCUCAUAGCUUUCCUGCAACUUAUGCCUCACAGAGCACCUGAAAUCCAUCACAGGAUGAUUUGGAGAUGGGGUGUGGGAAUCGGGGACCCGUCCCACCUACCGGCUUUAGGAUAUAUCAUUCUCGAUGAGAGGGUAGUGGUGUACCUGAGACAACUUUGAGAUACCGAAAUCUUCCUCAUCUGAGAGUUCUUCCAUCAGAUGGAGUUGCUAUGCUGGAGUUCCCAGAAUUUUAUGAAGAAGUCGGUAAUGUCAUCAAUCAUUAUAGGGAUAUGCGGUUGGAUAUAGAGGACAUGUCUUAUGAGGAGCUACUUGCUCUGGGAGAACGGAUUGGCAAUGCGGACACUGGAUUAUCAGAGGAAACCAUGACGAGAAAAAUGAAAACAAGGACAUAUUCAACAUUUGUAACUAAUAUUAACCUGGAAGAAGCGGCGCCCAUCGAUCAAGGACCCGAUUCUUGCAUCAUUUGCCAGGAGGAUUACAAAAACCAAGAGAAAAUCACAACUCUCGAUUGCGGACACGAGUCUCAUGCAGGUUGCUUAAGUCAGUGUUCGUGAAGAACGUAUGCCCCAUCUGCAAAUCCGAGGCACUAACCACCAAGUCCAAGGAUGUCUAAAACAUGAAGAAUGACUUAAACCCAGCAAAAUGAAUAAAUUACAUACAAUGGUUGAUGGCGGCAGAAUCGAUGGGAGAAAGCUCUCCGGGAAGCCUUAUGGCUUAACUGUUUGCCAUGA